ACGUGUUGGGCAGGUAAGAUUUCCCAAUUCUUCAGUUCCAAUUCCUAACCCUCAAUCCCCAAUUCAUAAAUCCUUCAUGUCCAAAUACUCAUCUCCUUCUCUGACUAUGACAAUACCCUCCCCUUGAAAAAAUCCUUGUCCCCGAGGAUCAAAAGAUGGAAACUACCCUCUCAAGACCAUAUAGUCUUCCCAAGUGUCAUGAGUAGCAUCCAGAUUCGACCAGCAGGUGGUUCAGUUGAAGGAACCAAUGACUCCCCAAUGAGUUUCUUUAACAGACAAACAUGAAAUAUGAGAUGUAAUUUAGAGGUCACUGGUAACUCCAAUCGAUAGGCUACCUGCCCUAUCUUCACCAAAAUUUUAUAUGGACCAUAGUAUCUUGCUGCUACCUUUAGAUAUUUUCGCAAAGCCAGGACCUGUAAGGCUAAAGUUUCAGGAGAAAUAUUAGAUGGGUUGGGUACCGAAAUAGACAGCAGAAAAAACCAACUGGAUUUUGUUCAGGUAAUUUUUAUUCACAAUCUGCAAUUAGAAAUAUUAAAUAUUUGAUCUUAUUUUUCAAAAACUUGAGCUGAAUAUGCAGCCCUUUAACUGUGUUACUUGUCU